AUUGAACGCUGGCGGCAGGCUUAACACAUGCAAGUCGAACGAUGAUUAUCUAGCUUGCUAGAUAUGAUUAGUGGCGGACGGGUGAGUAACAUUUAGGAAUCUGCCUAGUAGUGGGGGAUAGCUCGGGGAAACUCGAAUUAAUACCGCAUACGACCUACGGGUGAAAGGGGGCGCAAGCUCUUGCUAUUAGAUGAGCCUAAAUCAGAUUAGCUAGUUGGUGGGGUAAAGGCCCACCAAGGCGACGAUCUGUAACUGGUCUGAGAGGAUGAUCAGUCACACCGGAACUGAGACACGGUCCGGACUCCUACGGGAGGCAGCAGUGGGGAAUAUUGGACAAUGGGGGCAACCCUGAUCCAGCCAUGCCGCGUGUGUGAAGAAGGCCUUUUGGUUGUAAAGCACUUUAAGCAGGGAGGAGAGGCUAAUGGUUAAUACCCAUUAGAUUAGACGUUACCUGCAGAAUAAGCACCGGCUAACUCUGUGCCAGCAGCCGCGGUAAUACAGAGGGUGCGAGCGUUAAUCGGAAUUACUGGGCGUAAAGCGAGUGUAGGUGGCUCAUUAAGUCACAUGUGAAAUCCCCGGGCUUAACCUGGGAACUGCAUGUGAUACUGGUGGUGCUAGAAUAUGUGAGAGGGAAGUAGAAUUCCAGGUGUAGCGGUGAAAUGCGUAGAGAUCUGGAGGAAUACCGAUGGCGAAGGCAGCUUCCUGGCAUAAUAUUGACACUGAGAUUCGAAAGCGUGGGUAGCAAACAGGAUUAGAUACCCUGGUAGUCCACGCCGUAAACGAUGUCUACUAGCCGUUGGGGUCCUUGAGACUUUAGUGGCGCAGUUAACGCGAUAAGUAGACCGCCUGGGGAGUACGGCCGCAAGGUUAAAACUCAAAUGAAUUGGCGGGGGCCCGCACAAGCGGUGGAGCAUGUGGUUUAAUUCGAUGCAACGCGAAGAACCUUACCUGGUCUUGACAUAGUGAGAAUCCUGUAGAGAUGCGGGAGUGCCUUCAGGAAUUCACAUACAGGUGCUGCAUGGCUGUCGUCAGCUCGUGUCGUGAGAUGUUGGGUUAAGUCCCGCAACGAGCGCAACCCUUUUCCUUAUUUGCCAGCGGGUUAAGCCGGGAACUUUAAGGAUACUGCCAGUGACAAACUGGAGGAAGGCGGGGACGACGUCAAGUCAUCAUGGCCCUUACGACCAGGGCUACACACGUGCUACAAUGGUAGGUACAGAGGGUUGCUACACAGCGAUGUGAUGCUAAUCUCAAAAAGCCUAUCGUAGUCCGGAUUGGAGUCUGCAACUCGACUCCAUGAAGUCGGAAUCGCUAGUAAUCGCAGAUCAGAAUGCUGCGGUGAAUACGUUCCCGGGCCU
rnacentral:rRNA from 1 species